rnacentral:tRNA from 1 species
GUUUAUAUAGUUUAAUAAAACCUUACAUUUUCAUUGUAAAAAUAAAACAUCUUGUUUUUAUAAAUU